AAAAUGCGAUACUUGGUGUGAAUUGCAGAAUCCCGUGAACCAUCGAGUUUUUGAACGCAAGUUGCGCCCGAAACCAUUUGGUCGAGGGCACGUCUGCCUGGGCGUCACGU
rnacentral:rRNA from 1 species